GCCUUCGUGGUGUAGCAGUCAGCACGCUGGGUGCGUAAUCCAGAACUCCGUGGUUCGAGUCCCUGCGAAAGCG
rfam:Stegodyphus mimosarum contig93762, whole genome shotgun sequence.